AUUGAACGCUGGCGGCAGGCCUAACACAUGCAAGUCGAGCGGAUGAAGAGAGCUUGCUCUCUGAUUUAGCGGCGGACGGGUGAGUAAUGCCUAGGAAUCUGCCUGGUAGUGGGGGAUAACGUUCCGAAAGGAACGCUAAUACCGCAUACGUCCUACGGGAGAAAGCAGGGGACCUUCGGGCCUUGCGCUAUCAGAUGAGCCUAGGUCGGAUUAGCUAGUUGGUGAGGUAAUGGCUCACCAAGGCGACGAUCCGUAACUGGUCUGAGAGGAUGAUCAGUCACACUGGAACUGAGACACGGUCCAGACUCCUACGGGAGGCAGCAGUGGGGAAUAUUGGACAAUGGGCGAAAGCCUGAUCCAGCCGUGCCGCGUGUGUGAGGAAGGUCUUCGGAUUGUAAAGCACUUUAAGUUGGGAGGAAGGGUUGUAGAUUAAUACUCUGCAAUUUUGACGUUACCAACAGAAUAAGCACCGGCUAACUUCGUGCCAGCCGCCGCCGUAAAAC
rnacentral:rRNA from 1 species